AGUAUGUACCGAUGCUCUUGCAGAGGCUGGGAGAGGAUAUUAGACUGGCUGAAAGACAAGAAUUCUGGGAGAAUAUCUGGGACAAAGUGGAGUUAGUCUGAAUACAUGUUUCAGACUUGUUUUGAAGGGGACAACCUGCCAGGCGUUGAUGUGGACAGUAUGACUUCUGGACUCAAUGCUAAAAUAUAGCUGGCCAUGAGGAAGUGCCAAACAUCAUGUGAACAUCACAAAACAGUGGGUCUUGUUCUCCUUUCAGAUUUCAGAAAUAUUCCAUUUGGAGGCUUCUAGCCAAAUUUAUUCAUGUUGUCUUCACACUCAGGGGAAGUUCAGGAUUUUCUCCUAGAGUUUUUCCACAUGGGCGUAGAGGACAUCUGUCACCUCUGAGGUUGCUUGCCCCAGAAAUACUCUGCCCUGCCCUGUGGAAGGUAUGUUGCAGAAAAAUUACCCAUCAUAUGGCAUUAAAACCACUUCAUGGGAUUUUGUAUCCAAUUACCUGGAAAAUCAAGAGUUCAAAUAUAGUGCCUGAGAAAGGACUAAGAAAGAGGAAAUUGUUAAAUUAUGCAAUUAUAUUAAGAAUUAACAACUGUAAAAUAAAUUUGAAAUUACUUCAACACCUGUGUGACCUUUUCUGUAAAAACUAUAUAUAUGUACAUAUUUAUAUAGAAUAUAUGUAAAAUAAAUGU